GAGGACACUGGACUCCUGGCAGCAGGUUCUGUCGACCCCACCUGGGGCACAGCUGACAUAAGCCUUCCUUAUAGUUGUGUGGGGCCACAGGACUGAGUUGCGGCCAGUGAAAUGUGGGUUGAGGGCCUGAGUCAACCAAAAAGCACAACAGAACUCAACACAACAAAACACUUUGUUGCUGCUUGAAGGCUGCAGAUAGCGUUCUAACCCUGCACCGUGGGAGGUGUUUCAUCAUCCGGUUUUUCAAUUCCCCUUGGAUUCACUCUUUUUAGAUGCCUAGACUGUGACAGUGUGAGGGGGAAAGGCUGCUGCCAAAAGUGGAGGACUUAAAGCUGGAGGCCGCCCCAAAGACGGGGAAAUGAAGAAAACGCCGUUUCUGGAGCUCCCUGAGGGAAACUGAUACAGUGAUGAGGAUGAAGGCAUAGAGAAACAACCUUCAAGAAGGACUGGACGAAAGAAAGAGCAACAGCAGUCCCCAAGUUUUGCAUCUCUGUCUUAUGACUCUGAUUCUUCAGCUCCAAGCUCCACAACCACUAACAACUACAGGUCUUGAUUCUGUCCCUGGCCACUCAGGUACCCUCUAAGAAAGAGGAUUGAGAGGAAGCAUGAGGAAUUUCACUGCCUUCCAGCAAUUAAAUUGCAUUCAAGAAUUCUACAGUAGCCUUGGUGGUCUGCAACGACAUUUCAGGGAUUAGAUGCUCUAUCUCCUGUCUGGCAGACACAUGAGCAGAACCCAGGAUGGAAGAAUGUAAUCACCAGCGUGACUCCAGUGAUGGAGAUGAACUAGAUGUGGAGACUGGGGAGCAGCAGAGUCAACUCAGUUAUCAUCUUGGCGGCCGGGCUGCCGUCCAGCUCACAGAAGCCACC
rnacentral:lncRNA from 1 species